GACGAACGCUGGCGGCGUGCCUAAUACAUGCAAGUUGAGCGAUGAAGAUUGGUGCUUGCACCAAUUUGAAGAGCAGCGAACGGGUGAGUAACGCGUGGGGAAUCUGCCUUUGAGCGGGGGACAACAUUUGGAAACGAAUGCUAAUACCGCAUAACAACUUUAAACAUAAGUUUUAAGUUUGAAAGAUGCAAUUGCAUCACUCAAAGAUGAUCCCGCGUUGUAUUAGCUAGUUGGUGAGGUAAAGGCUCACCAAGGCGAUGAUACAUAGCCGACCUGAGAGGGUGAUCGGCCACAUUGGGACUGAGACACGGCCCAAACUCCUACGGGAGGCAGCAGUAGGGAAUCUUCGGCAAUGGACGAAAGUCUGACCGAGCAACGCCGCGUGAGUGAAGAAGGUUUUCGGAUUGUAAAACUCUGUUGGUAGAGAAGAACGUUGGUGAGAGUGGAAAGCUCAUCAAGUGACGGUAACUACCCAGAAAGGGACGGCUAACUACGUG
rnacentral:rRNA from 1 species